GACGAACGCUGGCGGCGUGCUCAACACAUGCAAGUCGAGCGAUGAAGUUCCUUCGGGAAUGGAUUAGCGGCGGACGGGUGAGUAACACGUGGGUAACCUGCUUCAUAGAGGGGAAUAGCCUUUCGAAAGGAAGAUUAAUACCGCAUAAGAUUGUAGCUUCGCAUGAAGUAGUAAUUAAAGGAGUAAUCCGCUAUGAGAUGGACCCGCGUCGCAUUAGCUAGUUGGUGAGGUAACGGCUCACCAAGGCGACGAUGCGUAGCCGACCUGAGAGGGUGAUCGGCCACAUUGGGACUGAGACACGGCCCAGACUCCUACGGGAGGCAGCAGUGGGGAAUAUUGCACAAUGGGGGAAACCCUGAUGCAGCAACGCCGCGUGAGUGAUGACGGUCUUCGGAUUGUAAAGCUCUGUCUUCAGGGACGAUAAUGACGGUACCUGAGGAGGAAGCCACGGCUAACUACGUGCCAGCCGCCGCAGUAA
rnacentral:rRNA from 1 species